CUGUCUCUUCUUCGGACAGACUCAAUUCUAUCAUCUUCAGACAGACUCUAUUCUUCCUCUCAAUUCUCUUUUUUCUCUCCAAACUAUCUCAGACAACUUCCAUUCUAUCAUCAACUUUCUCAGACAGAUUUCAUAUCGAGAUUUCAGAUGAAAAGAUAUAGCAAGUUCAAUUGAAGAUUCUAAGUACUGAAAAAAAACCUAUUUUCAACCAGAGACGAAACCGCAGAAUUCGGCUUUAAAACUCAAAUCAAAACCCAUUUAUUUUUAAGAUAUGUAUCCUAGUCAAAACCCAUAAAUCAGAAAGUUCGAUCUAUCAACUAUUAACCUUAAUUUUCAGAAGAAGGUAUAACCCUAAUUUAGGGAUAAGCCUCGAAGAACCCUAGAAUAAAAAUCCAGUUUUUCUCAAUAAUUAAGUUCAAAAUCUAAGUCAAAAAUCGAAGACAAACCUCUAUUCUAGAAGUUCACUGUCACAAAUCAUAACUUCAUUAAAACCCCUAUCUCAAAAUCAGGACGCAUCUAUCAACAGAAAUCAAACGUUGUAACCCUAGAUCUAGUCUUUUCGCUCCUGAAAUCAUCAGAUAAGGUGUUUCCUUUUCUAUUUUUUUACCUAUAACUUCUCAUAAUGAAGAUAGGGGUCUUUAUGGAUUCAAAGUCUUAAAAUCUGAAGGGUUUUCAUUGCUUCGUUGAUGAUUCUAUCGAAAGGUCAGGAGAAUUGGUUCUUAUAUAUCAGAAUCGCCUUCUAAUGUCGAUAUUAUUCGAGCCAUGGAUGAGAUUGGGGAUACGGUAUGCUCUGUAGUGGAUUCAACAAAACUUUGUUGGAAUACUCAUCCCGAUAGAGAAUAUGUGGAGGAGGCUAAUAAGGCAACUAUUAGAAUUCAUGAAUAUCUACAUGUGAGGAGAGAUCUUCCUGUGGACUUAGCAGAAGGAGCACUCUAUGCAAUUUUCCCUUCAAUGUGGAAACUUCCUUAACUUGCUAUGACUCUUCCGCUUGUCUUACUAUGCGGCACUUAUUGUCUUACUAUUCGUUUUUUUAUUUCACUUUUAUAUACUUGACACUCUCAAUCGCUCCUCGACAGAAUGUUUACCUUGGAGGUCAAUGAAGGCCUGGUGAAAAGCAGGAUGAGGACAUCAUAAUGACCAGCACCGGACCGGCAUUUUGAAUAUCAUGUGAUUCAUGUCCGUAAAGUGGAAAGCUUAUUACUGAAGUACAAGAUCUUGUGCAGAGUUGAUUAACUGCCUCAAACUACACUGAGCUUGCUCGAUGCUAUCAGAAUCUCAAGGACCAAGAUAUGCUCAGUCGAUGAUGGCGAUGCCCAGACAUUAUGGGAAGCAAUUGCAGGUCAUGUUUCCAUAUAAGGCCUCAACUUAAAUUUUAGACGAACAUUGUUUACGCAGAUAUUGAUUUUAAUGAUCUUCCACCAAUAUUGGUACUUCUAGUUACAACAUAUGUGUAAACAACUGAAGAUACUCUUAUGAACUAAUUCAUAUUUUCGAAUUCA